UACAGAGGUCCCAAGCGUUGUUCGGAUUCACUGGGCGUAAAGGGCGCGUAGGCGGCUCAUGAAGGCUGUGGUGAAAGUCCGGGGCUCAACCUCGGAUCGGCCGUGGCGACUCGUGGGCUGGAGCACUGUAGAGGCGGGUGGAAUUCCGGGUGUAGCGGUGGAAUGCGUAGAGAUCCGGAAGAACACCAGUGGCGAAGGCGGCCCGCUGGGCAGUGGCUGACGCUGAGGCGCGACAGCGUGGGGAGCAAACAGG
rnacentral:rRNA from 1 species